rnacentral:rRNA from 1 species
GCUUGCUUCUCUGAUGUUAGCGGCGGACGGGUGAGUAACACGUGGAUAACCUACCUAUAAGACUGGGAUAACUUCGGGAAACCGGAGCUAAUACCGGAUAAUAUUUUGAACCGCAUGGUUCAAAAGUGAAAGACGGUCUCGCUGUCACUUAUAGAUGGAUCCGUGCUGCAUUAGCUAGUUGGUAAGGUAACGGCUUACCAAGGCAACGAUGCAUAGCCGACCUGAGAGGGUGAUCGGCCACACUGGAACUGAGACACGGUCCAGACUCCUACGGGAGGCAGCAAUAGGGAAUCUUCCGCAAUGGGCGAAAGCCUGACGGAGCAACGCCGCGUGAGUGAUGAAGGUCUUCGGAUCGUAAAACUCUGUUAUUAGGGAAGAACAUAUGUGUAAGUAACUGUGCACAUCUUGACGGUACCUAAUCAGAAAGCCACGGCUAACUACGUGCCAGCAGCCGCGGUAAUACGUAGGUGGCAAGCGUUAUCCGGAAUUAUUGGGCGUAAAGCGCGCGUAGGCGGUUUUUUAAGUCUGAUGUGAAAGCCCACGGCUCAACCGUGGAGGGUCAUUGGAAACUGGAAAACUUAAGUGCAGAAGAGGAAAGUGGAAUUCCAUGUGUAGCGGUGAAAUGCGCAGAGAUAUGGAGGAACACCAGUGGCGAAGGCGACUUUCUGGUCUGUAACUGACGCUGAUGUGCGAAAGCGUGGGGAUCAAACAGGAUUAGAUACCCUGGUAGUCCACGCCGUAAACGAUGAGUGCUAAGUGUUAGGGGGUUUCCGCCCCUUAGU